GGAGUCUGGGCCGUAUCUCAGUCCCAAUGUGUCCGAUCACCCUCUCAGGCCGGAUACCCGUCAUUGCCUAGGUGGGCCUUUACCUCACCUACUAGCUGAUGGGCCGCAGGCCAAUCUAUCGGCGGAGCCGGAGCUCCUUUCACCGCGGAUCAGAAUCCGUGGUCUUAUUCGGUAUUACCCUGUGUUUCCACAGGCUAUCCCCAACCAAAAGGCAUGUCACCUACGUGUUACUCACCAGUCCGCCACUCUCAUCAGGGGCAAGCCCCUGAAUCCCGUUCGACUUGCAUGCUUAAGACGCGCCGCCAGCGUUCGUU
rnacentral:rRNA from 1 species